GGCUCAAUGGUCUAGUAGCAUGAUACCUCCUUCGGGCAUGAGUCCCCCAUCAAAAGCGUGGAAAAAUGGAGGUGGUCCCGGGUUCAAUUCCCGGUUGAGCCC